GUCUAUGGCCAUGCCACCUUGAAAGUGCUCAAUGUCAUCUGAUCUCGUAAGCUAAGCAGGGCCUGGUUAGUACUUGGAAGGGAGACCACCUAGGAAGACCAGGUGCUGUAGGCG
rnacentral:rRNA from 1 species